CCUUCCAACACCUUUUUUUUUGGUUUAAAAGGCUUUAGGCAUGGGGUUGCAUUUUACCCUUGCAUAAAACCACUUGAUUCAGUUCAGUUUGACAAAUGUGUAUUUGUUCUAGAUAUUGGAUUGGGCAUUGGAGAUUCAACAGGGAAUAAGAUCCAGCUUCUGACUUCAAUGAGUUACAGUCUUUUGGAAAAGACCUAAACCCAACUUCAACAUAUAGCAGAUGAUAAAGCUGAGGCACAGGAGAGUUAAGUGACUUGCCCAAGGUUACACAGCUAAUUACACAGAGCAGAUGGUGAGCAACACAGCAGACUGCAAGCUCCUGGACUAUAGAGCUCUGUCUUACUCAUCUCUGAGGCCCAGUCUCAUCUCUGUACCUGAACCAGCACCUGGCCAUGGUGGGUGGACAAUAUCUGAAGACAGUCAUAGUGAAAGAGAUUUGCUGUGGCCUGAAUGUUUGUGUCCCUUCCCAAAUUCUAACUCCCAAAGAUGAUGGUAAUAGGAAGAGAGGCCUUUGGGAAGUGUUUAAGUCAUGAGGGUGGGGGCUUCAUGAAUGGGAUUACUGCCUUAUAAUAAAAGGGUCCAGAGAGAUCUCUAGCCCUUUCCACCGAGUGAGGAGUCUAUUUCUACCAGUUAUGAUCCAGGAAGUGGGCCCUCACCAGAACGUGACUAUGCUGGUACCUUAAUCUUAGACUUCCCAGCCUCCGGAAUUGUGAGAAAUAAAUUCCUGUUGUUUUUAAGCUGCCCAGUCUGUGGUGCUUUAUCAUAGCAGCCUGAACGGACUGACAAAAGCCUUAGCUCCAAGCAUGACUCUCUCUUCAGGAGCGAUAGCUCUCCACUCAAAUUGCACCUGGGGAAAAUUUUUAAAAUCUGGUCCCCAGGGCUCUUGGGAAUUCAAACAGAAUCUAGGGGACCCAAACAUUAAUAUUUUUAAAAAAAAUUUAUUCUCCAGGUGAUUCUUAUUUGCAGCAAGGAUUAAAAAACAUUUCCCUGUAGAAAACAUACCUGCACAUAUUUAUAAAUAUUUAUAGCUGUAGACUUUAUAAAAGUCACACCUGUGACUAUGCUAACCAAUUCACUUUGUCACUUAAUCUGUAAGAGCUCAGGGAUGGGGGUGGAAUCAGAAAUCAGGGAUGGUAGGUAGCUAAGUGCCGUAAACAUCAGCUCUACAACCGGCAGGCAGACUGGUUCCGCAAUGUUGGCUCAUCUUGUCUUUGUAAAGAAAUUCAGGAAAUUUAGUUUCUUGAGUGGAAUUCUUCUAGAGCAGACCCACUUACUAGUUCACAAACAUUUCCCUGUGGUUAAAAUAUUACAUUACCUGCUGAUUCUUGUUUGUGGCCUUUCACCACACACACACACACACACACACACACAC